UACGUAGGGCGCAAGCGUUGUCCGGAAUUAUUGGGCGUAAAGAGCUCGUAGGCGGCUUGUCACGUCGGGUGUGAAAGCCCGGGGCUUAACCCCGGGUCUGCAUUCGAUACGGGCUAGCUAGAGUGUGGUAGGGGAGAUCGGAAUUCCUGGUGUAGCGGUGAAAUGCGUAGAUAUCUGGAGGAACACCGGUGGCGAAGGCGGCAUCCUGGACCGACACUGACGCUGAGGAGCGAAAGCCAGGGGAGCAAACGGG
rnacentral:rRNA from 1 species